UACAGAGGAGCCAAGCGUUGUCCGGAUUGACUGGGCGUAAAGCGCACGCAGGCGGUUGCGCGCGUGGGGUGUGAAAUCUGGCCGCUUAACGGCCAGGCGCCAUCCCAUACGGCGCGACUGGAGCGAUGCAGAGGUCGGUGGAAUUGCCGGUGUAGUGGUGAAUGCGUAGAGAUCGGCAGGAACACCCCAGGGGGAAACCAGCCGACUGGGCAUCUGCUGACGCUGAGGUGCGAGAGCGUGGGGAGCGAACCGG
rnacentral:rRNA from 1 species